GGGAACGUCAAAUUUUCUGAACAGAAAAUCCAAACGAAAACACAAAUGGAAACCGGAAGUGCUAUUC